GUCCCUGUAGGCUAACGGAUAAACCUCGAGAUUGCGGAUCUCGUAAUGCGGGUUCGAUUCCCGCCGGGGGCGCCA
rnacentral:tRNA from 1 species